UACGUAGGGUGCGAGCGUUGUCCGGAAUUAUUGGGCGUAAAGAGCUUGUAGGCGGUCUGUCGCGUCUGCUGUGAAAAAUCCGGGGGCUCAACCCCCGGACUUGCAGUGGGUACGGGGCAGACUAGAGUGUGGUAGGGGGAGACUGGAAUUCCUGGUGUAGCGGUGAAAAUGCGCAGAUAUCAGGAGGAACACCUAUUGCGAAGGCAGCUCGCUGGGACGUUACUG
rnacentral:rRNA from 1 species